UACGAAGGGGGCUAGCGUUGCUCGGAAUUACUGGGCGUAAAGCGUGCGUAGGUGGUGAGUUAAGUCUGAUGUGAAAUCCCCGGGCUCAACCUGGGAAUGGCAUUGGAUACUGGCUCGCUAGAGUGCGGUAGAGGGUGGUGGAAUUCCCGGUGUAGCAGUGAAAUGCGUAGAGAUCGGGAGGAACAUCUGUGGCGAAGGCGGCCACCUGGACCAACACUGACACUGAGGCACGAAAGCGUGGGGAGCAAACAGG
rnacentral:rRNA from 1 species